rnacentral:rRNA from 1 species
GACGAACGCUGGCGGCGUGCCUAAUACAUGCAAGUCGAGCGCAGGAAAUCGACGGAACCCUUCGGGGGGAAGUCGACGGAAUGAGCGGCGGACGGGUGAGUAACACGUAAAGAACCUGCCCUCAGGUCUGGGAUAACCACGAGAAAUCGGGGCUAAUACCGGAUGGGUCAUCGGACCGCAUGGUCCGAGGAUGAAAGGCGCUCCGGCGUCGCCUGGGGAUGGCUUUGCGGUGCAUUAGCUAGUUGGUGGGGUAAUGGCCCACCAAGGCGACGAUGCAUAGCCGACCUGAGAGGGUGAUCGGCCACACUGGGACUGAGACACGGCCCAGACUCCUACGGGAGGCAGCAGUAGGGAAUCUUCCACAAUGGACGAAAGUCUGAUGGAGCAACGCCGCGUGAACGAUGAAGGCCUUCGGGUCGUAAAGUUCUGUUGCAAGGGAAGAACAAGUGCCGCAGGCAAUGGCGGCACCUUGACGGUACCUUGCGAGAAAGCCACGGCUAACUACGUGCCAGCCGCCGCCGUAACAC